rnacentral:lncRNA from 1 species
UCAAUUUCACUUGUCUAAACAAUACAAGCAGAACCCUAACGGAGAGCCCUUAACAAAAGAGCCCUAGAGGUUUUCUUGUUGUUUUUGUUGUUGUUAUUGAUGUUGUUUUUUUCGAUGUUAUUGUUCUUGUUGUUGAGACCUUAAACCCUACUGGUUGUUUAUUGACGUUGAUGUUCUUGAUGUUGUUGUUAAUGUUGUUGAUUGUUUUUUUUUUGUUUAAUGUAAGUUGUUAUUUUUGAGUUGAUUUUAUUAAGUCUAUAUGUUGUAUUUUAGUUAUUGUUAUUGUGUUUGAGUUUGGGAUUGAUAUUG